rnacentral:rRNA from 1 species
AAACCAACAGGGAUUGCCUCAGUAGCGGCGAGUGAAGCGGCAAGAGCUCAGAUUUGAAAUCGUGACCCGCAUGGGCACGAGUUGUAAAUUGCAGGUUGGAGUCUUUGUGGAGGCCGGUGUCGAAGUCCCUUGGAACAGGGUGCCAUUGAGGGUGAGAGCCCCGUGCGAUGCCGGCCAAAGCUUUAAGGCCCUUCUGACGAGUCGAGUUGUUUGGGAAUGCAGCUCUAAGUGGGUGGUAAAUUCCAUCUAAGGCUAAAUAUUGGCGAGAGACCGAUAGCGAACAAGUACUGUGAAGGAAAGAUGAAAAGCACUUUGAAAAGAGAGUGAAACAGCACGUGAAAUUGUUGAAAGGGAAGGGUAUUGGGCUCGACAUGGGAUUUGCGCACCGCUGCUCCUUGUGGGCGGCGCUCUGGGCUUUUCCUGGGCCAGCAUCGGUUUCCGCUGCAGGAGAAGGGGUUCUGGAAUGUGGCUCCUCGGAGUGUUAUAGCCAGAGCCAGAUGCUGCGUGUGGGGACCGAGGACUGCGGCAUUUUUGUCACGGAUGCUGGCACAACGGCGCAAUACCGC